GAUGAACGCUGGCGGCGUGCCUAAUACAUGCAAGUCGAACGAACAGACGAUGAGCUUGCGCGGCUCACGUUAGCGGAGGGCGGGAGAGUAACGCGUGUAUAACCUACUUGUAAUUCGGGGAUAACUACGGGAAACGGGAUAUAAUAGGAUAGAAGAUAUUGAACCGCAGGGGGGAUUGGAGAAUUACGGUUUUGGGGUCUGGUAUAGAUGGUUCCGCGCUGGAUUGGGUGGUUGGUAAGGUAACAGCUUACCACGGCAAGGAUGCGUAGCCGAACUAAGGGGGUGAUCGGCCACAUUGGAGCUGAGCCACGGUCAAGACUCCUACGGGAGGCAGCAGUCGGGAACCUUCCGCAAUGGGCGAAAGCAUGACGCAGCAAGGCCGCGUGAGUGAUGACGGCCUUCGGAUCGUAAAGCCCUCUUAUUAGGGAAGAACAGCUGUCUCCGUAAACAUAGCCGUAUUGACGGUACCUAAUAAGAAAGCACCGGCUAACUACGUG
rnacentral:rRNA from 1 species